UUCCAGACUCCUACGGGAGGCAGCAGUGGGGAAUAUUGCACAAUGGGGGAAACCCUGAUGCAGCGACGCCGCGUGAAGGAAGAAGUAUCUCGGUAUGUAAACUUCUAUCAGCAGGGAAGAAAACAGACGGUACCUGACUAAGAAGCCCCGGCUAACUACGUGCCAGCAGCCGCGGUAAUACGUGGGGGGCAAGCGUUAUCCGGAUUUACUGGGUGUAAAGGGAGCGUAGACGGCAGCGCAAGUCUGGAGUGAAAUGCCGGGGCCCAACCCCGGAACUGCUUUGGAAACUGUGCAGCUCGAGUGCAGGAGAGGUAAGCGGAAUUCCUAGUGUAGCGGUGAAAUGCGUAGAUAUUAGGAGGAACACCAGUGGCGAAGGCGGCUUACUGGACUGUAACUGACGUUGAGGCUCGAAAGCGUGGGGAGCAAACAGGAUUAGAUACCCGCGUAU
rnacentral:rRNA from 1 species